CAUAUCCAAUACUUUGCGAAACUAAUAAUUUUUUUAAAAAUUUUGUUGCCUUGAAAUUUACAUUCAAGCAAAAUGUUUGUACGUAAAAAUGCUUGAUGUUCUUAUUUACAUUAAAAAAAAAGCUGCGAUCUGAAAAUGACUUAAUUUUCAAGAGUCACCGCCACAGAUGAAAAGCAUUCAAAAAAUUGCUCUGGAAGGAAUCGAUCAAGGCUUAUCGCACUGAUUAUAAAACGGCUGCGCUGGGAUUCGAACACCAGACCUCUGGACGUCUUAAGAAGGAAUUGCUAUCAAUACCACACUACUAACGGGAAGUGGAAAGUCAGCAUGAGACACACUUUUUCGUGUGAGGUUAAAA